rnacentral:rRNA from 1 species
CAAGCAUCAGAUCGUCGUAGUCAAUCUAUAACUAGCGACUAGGAUGAAUGAACAUCACAUUCAGUACUAUGAGAAUCAAGUCUUGGUCUGGGGGAGUAUGUCGCAAGACUGAACUAAAGAAUGACGAAGGCACACAGAGUGAGCUGCGGCGUGAGUGUGACUCACACGGGACACCUCCCCAGGUCCAGACAUAGUAAAGAAUAGACAAAAUGAUAGCUCUUUCUUGAUUCUAUGGUGUGUGCUGCCGUGCCGUUCUUAGUUGGUGGAGUGUUGUCUGGUUAAUUCCGAUAACGAACGAGACUUAACUGCUAACUAGAUUCGAUCAUCUUAUGGUCGUUAUCUUCUUAGAGGGACUAUGUAACAUAAAUACAUGGAAGUUUGAGGCAAUAACAGGUCAGAGAUGCCCUUAUAUGUCCUGGGCUGCACGCGUGCUACACUGAUGUAUACAACAAGUGCCUAGUCAGACAUGGCAUGGCAAUCUCGAAUAUGCAUCGUGAUGGGGAUAGAUCUUUGCAAUUAUAGAUCUUGAACGAGGAAUUCCUAGUAAGUGCAAGUCAUCAUCUUGCAUUGAUUAUGUCCCUGCCCUUGUACACACCGCCCGUCGCUCCUACCGAUACCGGGUGAUCCGGUGAACCUUGGACCUGCAAGGGGAAGAUA